rnacentral:ribozyme from 1 species
ACAAACGCCCGCGAAAGCUGGAACCGGUGCGUUCAAAGAUUAGAGAAGAAUAAGAAUAUGAAUAGCGUAGCUUUAGAUAGGUUAGAACACUUGCGCGCGAACUUUAGAUUGUAACAACACAUUUUAACGCAUUAGUACUCUUCGUGUAGAUGUGUAUUGAGACAUUUUCUCGCGAAAAACGUGGACACAAUUAAACGACGUGGACGCACAAUUAAACGCUAAAAGAUAUCGGUAU